GACGAACGCUGGCGGCGUGCUUAACACAUGCAAGUCGAACGGAAAGGCCCUGCUUUUGUGGGGUGCUCGAGUGGCGAACGGGUGAGUAACACGUGAGUAACCUGCCCUUGACUUUGGGAUAACUUCAGGAAACUGGGGCUAAUACCGGAUAGGAGCUCCUGCUGCAUGGUGGGGGUUGGAAAGUUUCGGCGGUUGGGGAUGGACUCGCGGCUUAUCAGCUUGUUGGUGGGGUAGUGGCUUACCAAGGCUUUGACGGGUAGCCGGCCUGAGAGGGUGACCGGCCACAUUGGGACUGAGAUACGGCCCAGACUCCUACGGGAGGCAGCGGUGGGGAAUAUUGCACAAUGGGCGGAAGCCUGAUGCAGCAACGCCGCGUGCGGGAUGACGGACUUCGGGUUGUAAACCGCUUUCGCCUGUGACGAAGCGUGAGUGACGGUAAUGGGUAAAGAAGCACCGGCUAACUACGUG
rnacentral:rRNA from 1 species